CCCAGGGCUCAUGCUCUGGGCUGGCAGAUUUCACCCCUUCGGGGUU
rnacentral:sRNA from 1 species